rnacentral:rRNA from 1 species
ACCUANAGGANGCCUAACANGUGCAAUNCNNGCGNAAACAGNGGUAGCUUGCUNCNCGCGUGACAANCGGCGGACGGGUGAGUAAUGCAUAGGAAUCUGCCCGAUAGUGGGGGAUAACCUGGGGAAACCCAGGCUAAUACCGCAUACGUCCUACGGGAGAAAGGGGGCUCCGGCUCCCGCUAUCGGAUGAGCCUAUGUCGGAUUAGCUGGUUGGUGAGGUAAAGGCUCACCAAGGCGACGAUCCGUAGCUGGUCUGAGAGGAUGAUCAGCCACAUCGGGACUGAGACACGGCCCGAACUCCUACGGGAGGCAGCAGUGGGGAAUAUUGGACAAUGGGGGGAACCCUGAUCCAGCCAUGCCGCGUGUGUGAANAAGGCCCUCGGGUUGUAAAGCACUUUCAGUGAGGAANAACGCCUGGUGGUUAAUACCCAUCAGGAAAGACAUCACUCACAGAAGAAGCACCGGCUAACUCCGUGCCAGCAGCCGCGGUAAUANGGAGGGUGCGAGCGUUAAUCGGAAUUACUGGGCGUAAAGCGCGCGUAGGUGGCUUGAUAAGCCGGUUGUGAAAGCCCCGGGCUCAACCUGGGAACGGCAUCCGGAACUGUCAAGCUAGAGUGCAGGAGAGGAAGGUAGAAUUCCCGGUGUAGCGGUGAAAUGCGU